GCCCAAUGAUGAGACCAAGGCGAAUAUGAGUUUACUGAAUGAGAGAGUUGGGUUCCUCCCUUUUGUGGCAGGUAAUCUUGGUAGUGUAGAGGAGGCUUCCUGCUCUGCUGUAAGGGCCUGCCUACAGUCACAUGGCUUUACUCAAAUGAUUCCUCUAGAGUUACAGUAGAAAUCAUUGGGAGGAAGCUGACACUGUGUGUGUGUGUGCGUGCGUGCGCGUGAGUGGGUAUAGAAGAGGUAAGGAGUUCACCCAGCUCUCUCUGGUGUUUGGUUGACUGUGAGUAUUGUCUUUGGUAAUCUGAGGGCC